rnacentral:lncRNA from 1 species
GUAAAUACUUUGUCAAAAUUUUAUGAAAAUUAAACGAGCCAAAUAAAUUUUAGUGAAAGUGUUGUCAAUCAAACAUUACAGUAAUAGACUUUGGGAAUUGGUUUUCUUCUGAGCUUCUAUCAGUUACCUGUCAAGUCUGUAGGAAUACCAGUAAUACGAAAAAAGGUUGGUCAGCAGUAUUCUUCAUAUCACAUUUACACUAGAGGCAAA